rnacentral:lncRNA from 12 species
CCACCAAAAACAUGUAUCACUUCUUCCAGUGACUUGUAGAGAUUGAAAGAUGAUACGCACACAAUGAGGUAGUCAUGACAUGCGUGCACCUCGCCCUGCACGGGGGAGGUCUCCCGGGUUGGAGCCGGGAAUAAGUGACAACAGCAGAUAAGAGAGGACAAGAACCGCGUACGGAGGGUGGGCAGAGGCCGUCUCUGAUUUAUCUGGCACCAACACUUCCCAAAUCCAUGCCUGUUUGCUGGAAGCCCAUUCGGCAGGAGAGGCUCCAGUUCUUGGAUGAGAGUAGACAGCAUUGGCCUUCCUUGCCUGCCUUCGCCAGAAUGGAGAGUUGGCUGCCACGGUGGGAGGUAAAUGCUUGUUGGCUGGUAGAGGUAAGGUCUCCCUGAUAACCGUGUUCCUGCUUUCCAUCCUCUGUCAUUCCUUCCAUGGUGUCAGGAGUGCAGCGUGCACAGGCCUGUGUCUAUCUGCCCUGUUGUCCCCUAAUGUACUGAAGUCCCCUGGGGAAGGGGGCAGGGACUGUGUUGCAUAAACAAAUGAGCCUUAUCAGCACUCAGUAGCUAUGUGGCUUUUCGAAUGUUCCUUCUUUUGUAGGGUCUUCCGUUCCCCGACUUGCUAACAUGAGACUAGAUUUGGGGCUCUGUGGUCUCUCCCUACCAGAUCCGAAGACCUUGAGUCUGGGAUUCUCCCUUUUCCCACCAUUUUGCCCAGCACAGCCUUGGACCCCCCUCCCCCUGGUACCGAACAAACAUUUGGCCUUUCUACAAAUGGCGUUUCAAUCAGAGCAGGCGCGUCACAGGCUCAUGUUUUCCUGUUGCCACACCAACCCCGGGUGGGAGUGGGGGAGGCGCGGCGGGAAUGCAAAGCAUUUAUCAACUAUAACCAUCUCCGCAGAAGAGCCGGGGUUUCGGGAGGCGAACAAUAGCUCCGUGACGAUUUUCUCUUCCAAAUGACAAAUAAUUGCUGUCAUAUCAUCAAAUGAUUAAGAAAUAAAGGAAAACAGACAAAUGGAGUGUAUCCA